rnacentral:rRNA from 1 species
UACGGGGGGGGCAAGCGUUGUUCGGAAUUACUGGGCGUAAAGGGCUCGUAGGCGGCCAACUAAGUCAGACGUGAAAUCCCUCGGCUUAACCGGGGAACUGCGUCUGAUACUGGAUGGCUUGAGGUUGGGAGAGGGAUGCGGAAUUCCAGGUGUAGCGGUGAAAUGCGUAGAUAUCUGGAGGAACACCGGUGGCGAAGGCGGCAUCCUGGACCGGUAUUGACGCUGAGGCGCGAAAGCUAGGGGAGCAAACGGG